rnacentral:rRNA from 1 species
UACGUAGGUGACAAGCGUUGUCCGGAAUUAUUGGGCGUAAAGGGAGCGCAGGCGGUUGGAAUAGUCUGAUGUGAAAGCCCACGGCUUAACCGUGGAGGGUCAUUGGAAACUGGUCGACUUGAGUGCAGAAGAGGGAAGUGGAAUUCCAUGUGUAGCGGUGAAAUGCGUAGAGAUAUGGAGGAACACCAGUGGCGAAGGCGGCUUCCUGGUCUGUAACUGACACUGAGGCGCGAAAGCGUGGGGAGCAAACAGGAUUAGAUACCCCUGUA